rnacentral:pre_miRNA from 1 species
AAAAUACUCCCUCCGUUCCAAAAUUCUUGUCUUGAAUUUGUCUAAAUAUGGAUGUAUCAAGUCACGUUUUAGUAUUAGAUACAUCCAUAUCUAGACAAAUCUAAGAUAAGAAUUUUAGGACGGAGGGAGUAGAAA